UGGGGAAUCUUGCACAAUGGGGGCAACCCUGAUGCAGCGACGCCGCGUGAGCGAUGAGGCCCUUCGGGGCGUAAAGCUCUUUCGACCGGAACGAUAAUGACGGUACCGGGAGAAGAAGCUGCGGCUAACUACGUGCCAGCAGCCGCGGUAAUACGUAGGCAGCAAGCGUUGUUCGGAGUUACUGGGCGUAAAGAGUGCGUAGGCGGUUUUCUAAGUUCGGUGUGAAAUCUCCCGGCUUAACUGGGAGGGUGCGCCGAAGACUGGGAAGCUGGAGUGUGGGAAAGGCAGGCGGAAUUCCUGGUGUAGCGGUGAAAUGCGUAGAUAUCAGGAGGAACACCGGCGGUGUAGACGGCUUGCUAGACCAUAACGGACGCGGAGGCACGAAAGCGUGGGUAGCAAACA
rnacentral:rRNA from 1 species